AACAGGGUGAAAGCCCCGUAUACGACAUCUGAUCUUACCUAGCUGGUAUCCUGAGUACGGCGGAACACGAGAAAUUCCGUCGGAAUCCGGGAGGACCAUCUCCCAAGCCUAAAUACUCCCUAGUGACCGAUAGUGAACCAGUACCGUGAGGGAAAGGUGAAAAGAACCCCGGAAGGGGAGUGAAACAGCACCUGAAACCGUGUGCUUACAAGUAGUCAAAGCCCUUUUACGGGUGAUGGCGUACCUUUUGUAGAAUGGACCGGCGAGUGACGAUGUCAUGCAAGGUUAAGCCGAAGAGGUGGAGCCGCAGCGAAAGCGAGUCUGAAUAGGGCGUUUAGUAUGCCGUCGUCGACCCGAAACCAAGUGACCUACCCAUGUCCAGGGUGAAGGUGCAGUGAAAUGCACUGGAGGCCCGAACCCACGUACGUUGAAAAGUGCGGGGAUGAGGUGUGGGUAGCGGAGAAAUUCCAAUCGAACUUGGAGAUAGCUGGUUCUCUCCGAAAUAGCUUUAGGGCUAGCCUCGGAUAGUGCAUCGUGGAGGUAGAGCGACUGUUUGGACUAGGGGCCCUUAUCGGGUUACCGAAUCCUGAUAAACUCCGAAUGCCACUGAUGUAGAUCCGGGAGUCACACUGCGAGUGAUAAGAUCCGUAGUGGAAAGGGAAACAGCCCAGACCGUCGGUUAAGGUCCCAAAAUCCUUGUUAAGUGGAAAAGGAUGUGGGGCUGCUCAGACAACUAGGAUGUUGGCUCAGAAGCAGCCAUCAUUUAAAGAGUGCGUAAUAGCUCACUAGUCGAGUGGCCCUGCGCCGAAAAUUUACCGGGGCUAAACAAGGUACCGAAACCACGGAUAGAACCAAUGGUUCUAUGGUAGGAGAGCGUUCUAAGGGCAUUGAAGCAAGAUCGUGAGGACUUGUGGAGCGCUUAGAAGUGAGAAUGCCGGUAUGAGUAGCGAAACACGGGUGAGAAUCCCGUGCACCGAAUGACUAAGGUUUCCUGGGGAAGGCUCGUCCUCCCAGGGUUAGUCGGGACCUAAGCUGAGGCCGAUAGGCGUAGGCGAUGGACAACAGGUAGAGAUUCCUGUACCAGUCUGCUUUGUUUGAACAAUGGAGGGACGCAGGAGGCUAAGAUAAGCACGCUGUUGGAUAUGCGUGCCCAAGCAACAAGUCUGAGUAGGAGUCAAAUGCUUCU
rnacentral:rRNA from 1 species